rnacentral:rRNA from 1 species
GACGAACGCUGGCGGCGUGCCUAACACAUGCAAGUCGAACGGGACGGCCCUGCUUUUGUGCGGUGCUCGAGUGGCGAACGGGUGAGUUACACGUGAGUAACCUGUCCUUGCCUGUGGGAUAACUUAAGGCAACUGGGGCUAAUACCGCAUAGGAGCUCCUGCUGCUUGGUGGGGGUUGGAAAGUUUCGGCGGUUGGGGAUGGACUCGCGGCUUAUCAGCUUGUUGGUUGGGUAGUGGCUUACCAAGGCUUUGACGGGUAGCCGGGCUGAGAGGAUGACCGGCCACACUGGGACGGAGAUGCGGCACGGACUCGUACGGGAGGCAGCGGUGGGGAAGAUUGCACAAUGGGCGGAGGGCAAGUGCAGCAACGCCGCGUGCGGUAAGACGGGCUUCGGGUUGUGAUCCGCUUUUGCCUGUGACGAGGCGUGAGUGACGGUAACGGGUAAAGAAGCACCGGCUAACUACGUG